rnacentral:rRNA from 1 species
GUUUGAUCCUGGCUCAUAUUGAACGCUGGCGGCAUGCCUUACACAUGCAAGUCGAACGGUAACAGGUUAAGCUGACGAGUGGCGAACGGGUGAGUAAUGUAUCGGAACGUGCCCAGUCGUGGGGGAUAACUGCUCGAAAGAGCAGCUAAUACCGCAUACGACCUGAGGGUGAAAGCGGGGGAUCGCAAGACCUCGCGCGAUUGGAGCGGCCGAUAUCAGAUUAGGUAGUUGGUGAGGUAAAGGCUCACCAAGCCGACGAUCUGUAGCUGGUCUGAGAGGACGACCAGCCACACUGGGACUGAGACACGGCCCAGACUCCUACGGGAGGCAGCAGUGGGGAAUUUUGGACAAUGGGCGCAAGCCUGAUCCAGCCAUGCCGCGUGCGGGAAGAAGGCCUUCGGGUUGUAAACCGCUUUUGUCAGGGAAGAAAAGGUUCUGGCUAAUACCUGGGACUCAUGACGGUACCUGAAGAAUAAGCACCGGCUAACUACGUGCCAGCAGCCGCGGUAAUACGUAGGGUGCAAGCGUUAAUCGGAAUUACUGGGCGUAAAAGCGUGCGCAGGCGGUUAUGCAAGACAGAGGUGAAAUCCCCGGGCUCAACCUGGGAACUGCCUUUGUGACUGCAUGGCUAGAGUACGGUAGAGGGGGAUGGAAUUCCGCGUGUAGCAGUGAAAUGCGUAUAUAUGCGGGAGGACCACCGAUGGCGAAGGCAAUCCUCUGGGACCUGUAACUGACGCCUCAUGCACGAAAUGUGUGGGGGAGCAACCAGGUAUUUAUUCUCUGGUAGUCCCCGCCCUAAAUGAGGACUCUGGGUUGUUUGGGAGGCCUUCUCUCCAAUACGAAAAUUAAGCGGGGAAGAUGAACCGCCUGGGGAACACUGUUGCGAGGGUUUAACUCUAAAAGGAAUUGGAGGGGGACCCUCUCUGAGGGUGGGGAUGUAGUGGGUCUUUUUUCCUGUGCUUACCAAAAUCCUCCUCCCCUCUUCCGGCUAGGUCUGGGUAGUACUCAGUAUAUUGUGUGGAGGUAUCGUCCGGGGAGUGGUGUCGGCGCACGUUGCUUUCCGUGUUCUUAUCCUCCUCAUGGUCCUGGUGGGAUUGGUGUGGUAAGUUCAUUCACGUACGUUCUCUCUCCUCUCCUAUAUUUUUGUGCUAAAUUAGAACCUCCGAUGGUGGUCUUUUCUUUGC